GACGAACGCUGGCGGCGUGCUUAACACAUGCAAGUCGAACGGAAAGGCCCUGCUUGCAGGGUACUCGAGUGGCGAACGGGUGAGUAACACGUGGGUGAUCUGCCCUGCACUUCGGGAUAAGCCUGGGAAACUGGGUCUAAUACCGGAUAGGAGCCAUUUUUAGUGUGAUGGUUGGAAAGUUUUUUCGGUGUAGGAUGAGCUCGCGGCCUAUCAGCUUGUUGGUGGGGUAAUGGCCUACCAAGGCGGCGACGGGUAGCCGGCCUGAGAGGGUGGACGGCCACAUUGGGACUGAGAUACGGCCCAGACUCCUACGGGAGGCAUCAGUGGGGAAUAUUGCACAAUGGGCGCAAGCCUGAUGCAGCGACGCCGCGUGGGGGAUGACGGCCUUCGGGUUGUAAACUCCUUUCGCUAGGGACGAAGCUUUUUGUGACGGUACCUAGAUAAGAAGCACCGGCUAACUACGUG
rnacentral:rRNA from 1 species